rnacentral:hammerhead_ribozyme from 1 species
GUACUUCUGAAGAGUUCCAAAGUAGGACGAAACAGCCGUUCAGUAC